rnacentral:tRNA from 1 species
GUUUCCAUAGAACAAUGGAUAGUUUACCGGUUUCCUAAACCGUUAAUUCCGGUUCGAGUCCGGAUGGAAACA